rnacentral:tRNA from 1 species
GUGUGCAUAGCUCAGCGGUUAGAGCGGCCCUCUGGAUUGAGGUGGUCAUGGGUUUGAAUCCCAUGGCACACA